AUGAGCGAGGGGCCUCUGAACAUAGAGACGCUCCUAAUCUCCCCGGGGAUACACGGUGUUAUUAAUGCAGGCGCUGGAAGGAAAUGUUCCGUCUCGUCAGCGGGGAAAGUGAACUGGAGCCUUCUCCAGGCAAAGCCUCGGACAGUUGUCUACACAGCCAGCCAGUCCGUGCUCUGGGGCUCUGACCGGAUCUCCCCACAUGGGCUUCUGAUCCUUCCUUGUGCGGUGGCCAUCCUGCCCCCGGGAAGCCAGCUUCAGUCUCAGCAGGAACUGUGGUCACCGAUGCGGAGUGGGCACUCACUCCGGCCAGGCAGGGUGUCAGCGCCUCCCAUUCCUGUGCCGUUCAACCCUGCGCUCCUUUUUCCCACCUGUCAUGCGUUAGGUGUCAACCUGGCCAGGCCGCAGUACUCUGCAACACUGAUCCCGGUGUCGCCGUGAGGGCAUUUUGUAAAUGUGGUCAACGUCGACAAUCUGCUGAUUUUAAGAAAAGAAGAGUAUCCUCCCUAAUCUGGGUGGGCCAGAUUCAAUCAGUUGAAAGGCAUUAAGAGCUAAACUGAGGUUUCCCCAAAGCAGAAGAUAUUCUGGCUGUGGACUGGAGCUUCGGCUUGGGCCUGAGCUUCCAUCCUGCGCUCCUGAUGGCCUGCCCUACAGAUUUCAGGCUCCCCAGCCCCCACACCCACGUAAGCUAAUUCUUGUAUAUAUACUCUCCUGCUGGUUCUACUUCUCUGUGAGAACCCUGGCUACUACACCAGCUCACAGCAAGUGGACCAAUGUCACACACUUAGUAAGGAGGGGGGCCAGGAUUAAGGCAGGCAGUCCCAUUACUGAACGCGGGUUCUUAGCCUCUAGACCAUACUGUUUCAACAAUGUUAGCACAUUGCCUUCAUCUUUUUUUUUAAUUUUUUUUCAACUUAUUUAUUCAUGAUAGUCACAGAGAGAGAGAGAGAGAGAGAGAGGCAGAGACACAGGCAGAGGGAGAAGCAGGCUCCAUGCACCGGGAGCCCGAUGUGGGACUCGAUCCCGGGUCUCCAAGGUCGUGCCCUGGGCCAAAGGCAGGCGCCAAACUGCUGCGCCACCCAAGGAUCCCACAUUGCCUUCAUCUUGAUGAAACUCAGAAAGGUCAAGUAACUCGCCCAAGGUCACACAGCUUAUAAGCAGAUGUGCUGGAUGGACGUCUAGCCCAGGUCUGUCUCAUUCCAGGACCUGAGUACUUUCCAUCAUACUCAGUGGUGUCCCGGUAGGCAAUUAAACA
rnacentral:lncRNA from 12 species